AUCCUUAUGCAUGGGAAAUACACAUUUCAGUGAGGAUUCGUCCGAGAUUGUGUUUUUGCUGGUUGAAAUUUAAAUUUAAUUUUAACCUGACCCUUCUCCUCAUAGUCAACUAUUAUAAUGGAUAUUCGCUUUAUUGAAUAUCUUUUAAAAGA
rnacentral:snRNA from 24 species